GCAAACUUGGUCAUUUAGAGGAAGUAAAAGUCGUAACAAGGUUUCCGUAGGUGAACCUGCGGAAGGAUCAUUACUGAAGCAUUUAGAAAAGUUGUUGCUGCCUUUGGGAUUGUGCACACUCUUCGAAUCUUCUUAACCACCUGUGCACUUUUGUUAGACUUGUUAAUGAUUUCUCACUGAAAAAUGUGGAUGGAGAGCUUUUGCUUCAAGGAGCUAGCUUUCAAUGAUUUUUAACAAGUCUAUACUUUUUGUAAACACUUUAAAGUCUCUGAAUGUAUUUUGUGGGUUGUGAUAGACCUAUAAAAAUUUGUAUACAACUUUCAGCAACGGAUCUCUAGGCUCUCGCAUCGAUGAAGAACGCAGC
rnacentral:misc_RNA from 1 species